UCAGUAAUAGGCUAAGCUGUCUCUCCUGA
rnacentral:piRNA from 1 species